GGGGGAUAAUUUAUCUUAAGUAAUUUCUGCCCGGUGAACUAAAGUUUAAACGGCCGCAGUACCCUGACUGUGCAAAGGUAGCAUAAUCCUUUGACAUUUAAUUGGUGUCUAGAAUGAAUGGAUUGACGAGAAAAUAGUUUUAUUCUUUUAGAAAUUGAAAUUAAUGUUCAUGUGAAAAAGCGUGAAUAGACUCGAAAGACGAGAAGACCCUACUGAGCUUUGAGAAGAGUUUUAGUAAAUAAAAGUAUUCUUUUAACUGGGGCAGUUGAGGAGCAAAAGAAUCUCCUUAAUAAAUUAAAGACUUCAAGUCAUUUAAAGGAACCUAUAGAGAUCAUUGAGUACAAGCUACCAUAGGGAUAACAGACUAAUCUUUUCAGAGAGAUCAAAUUGAUGAAAAGGAUUGGCACCUCGAUGUUGGCUUAGGAAAACAUUUUGUUGCAGCAGGCAAAAUAGUUGGUUUGUUCAACC
rnacentral:rRNA from 1 species